UUUCCAUACCCCCUUAUUGUUCUCUUUUGCCUGCCCUUCGGCUUGAAAGGUAUGUUGUCCUUGGCUCCGAAAUUGUUCAAUAUAAAACCGUGGUAAUGUUGCACAAUGUACUGUUAUGCUACCAUAAGUUUGUUACAAUGUGGAUAAUAUAAAGAUUUAUGUUAACAAGGUUCACAAAGCUCGCUAACUAGGGUAUCUAUUGUAACUUGUGAGUACUUGGGACAGUGUUUGAGUGAGUGUCCAUGUGCUUGCGCAGGUGCCUGAGAGCUAGGACUGCGCCAAGGGUUAACAUAAUGUGUGUUGUCUCUUCGUGUGCAGGGCAAAUAAAACAUUAUUCAACUAGCAGACCUCCAGUUGUGGCAGCGUCCUAAUUUAAAGUACACAACGCAGAACGAACCACUUAACAUAGGCAUAUAUAAAUAAUGUAUUUAACUUGUAAGGCAAGGUUGGAUUAGUUGGUCUAAACAACAUGCACCUGGAUAAUCGCGUCAUGAAUCGGGAUGGGCUCCUACAUCCUCAUAUACACAUUAUGACAUAAUAAAGAGUUUAAUCGUUCACGAAAUAAAGACAUAGAAGCAUACCCAUUUAUACAGGUUCUACACAUUCCAUUUCUCCAUGGCAAUAGAAUGUAAACAUUCUAUUUUGCCCCAAACAUCGCCUACAACUCCAUUCUAAGUGCAGCAUAUUGGACGAUUCAACAGUCAUUGAUCAUUCUCGACUUUAAGUCAUUCCUGUUAUGUCUAGAGCAUCCCGUAUAUCUAUAGCACUGCAUUUCUUCCUCAUCUUACCAUGGAUAGGGUUUGGUGCAUUCCGGAGUUCACUUAUGGUCCCACAAAGGUAAUCUUAGGAGAAAUUCAUUUUAGCAUACUGUAAAUGCCUGUGCAUAAUGUACAUAACAAAGCAUCAUUAUUUUCAUGAUCUUCAAAGGAAUUCUGUAGAAGCAGUCUUUAUUUUCAGACUCUGCAGGCCUGCUGGGAGGAAACAUAUUACAAUAAACAGAAGAAGCUCAUGGUCCACUAUCUGCUGCUCCAGAGUCAAGGCCAGGUCCCUCUCCAUGUCACCACGGAGCACAUGAGCAACUGGCUGGUGUCUCAGGGCAAAAAAUCCCUUAGGGGGAGGGUGUGGAAGGAAACCCUGGAGGAGGGAAACGACCUCGCUCGGCUGGCCUGGGAAGUAAACACUUGCCUAAAAAUGAUGAACAUAGAGCACGAGGCUUUCUGCAAGCUCCGCCGCUCCAUGCACCCCACCUCGCCAGCUGACAUCGAUCCACAGCACUGUGGAAAGAGCUGUGAGGAGCAUUCUGGGCGAGCAGUCCAAUGAGCCCAGUAGCAACCUGCUCAGGUGGUGGCGGAGGUGGUGCCCAGGCUCCUCCUGGCCCUGUGGCUUCAGCCAGAGGAAGGCCAUUCAGAGCACCCAAUCCUAAUAAACGGGAUGGCCGUGGGCAUGGUGGCAGCCGUAGUGGAGAAGCUCUCCUGCAUGUUAAAGGACCCUUCCCCUCACAUCCCUUUCUCCCGGGCUGCUGCUUUUGACUCUGUGCGGUCGAUCCUCAGGAGAAUCAGUCAGUCCUUCUCCACCGAUGACCUGCAGAGCCCUUUUUAUAUGAGCUCUGUUUGUGCCUUUGUGGCGGAUGAGGUGCAGAGCUGCUUCCAGCCCCCUGCAGCCACCCAACCAGUCCCCCGGGUCCUCGCGGUGGCCGUUUCCACCACACUACCAGCUGACAUCCAAGGAGACCCGGCUUCUUCCCACCUGAAUGUUGUGGACAUCACCUCUAACACAGAGGCAGAUCC
ensembl:lncRNA